AGUGAACGCUGGCGGUAGGCCUAACACAUGCAAGUCGAACGGCAGCACAGUAAGAGCUUGCUCUUACGGGUGGCGAGUGGCGGACGGGUGAGGAAUACAUCGGAAUCUACUUUUUCGUGGGGGAUAACGUAGGGAAACUUACGCUAAUACCGCAUACGACCUACGGGUGAAAGCAGGGGAUCUUCGGACCUUGCGCGAUUGAAUGAGCCGAUGUCGGGUUAGCUAGUUGGCGGGGUAAAGGCCCACCAAGGCGACGAUCCGUAGCUGGUCUGAGAGGAUGAUCGGCCACACUGGAACUGAGACACGGUCCAGACUCCUACGGGAGGCAGCAGUGGGGAAUAUUGGACAAUGGGCGCAAGCCUGAUCCAGCCAUACCGCGUGGGUGAAGAAGGCCUUCGGGUUGUAAAGCCCUUUUGUUGGGAAAGAAAAGCAGCAGGUGAAUACCCCGCUGUUCUGACGGUACCCAAAGAAUAAGCACCGGCUAACUUCGUG
rnacentral:rRNA from 1 species